rnacentral:rRNA from 1 species
GACGUAGGGCGCGAGCGUUGUCCGGAUUAUUGGGCGUAAAGAGCUCGUAGGCGGCUUGUCGCGUCGAAUGUGAAAACUCGGGGCUCAACUCCGAGCUUGCAUUCGAUACGGGCAGGCUAGAGUUCGGUAGGGGAGACUGGAAUUCCUGGUGUAGCGGUGAAAUGCGCAGAUAUCAGGAGGAACACCGUGGCGAAGGCGGGUCUCUGGGCCGAUACUGACGCUGAGGAGCGAAAGCGUGGGGAGCGAACAGG